rnacentral:rRNA from 1 species
GACGAACGCUGGCGGCGUGCUUAACACAUGCAAGUCGAACGGAAAGGCCCUGCUUUUGUGGGGUGCUCGAUUGGCGAACGGGUGAGUAACACGCGAGUAACCUGCCCUUGACUUUGGGAUAAAUUCAGGAAACUGGGGCUAAUACCGGAUAGGAGCUCCUGCUGCAUGGUGGGGGUUGGAAAGUUUCGGCGGUUGGGGAUGGACUCGCGGCUUAUCAGCUUGUUGGUGGGGUAGUGGCUUACCAAGGCUUUGACGGGUAGCCGGCCUGAGAGGGUGGCCGGCCACAUUGGGACUGAGAUACGGCGCAGAAUCCUACGGGAGGCAGUAGUGGGGAAUAUUGCACAAUGGGCGGAAGCCUGAUGCAGCAACGCCGCGUGCGGGAUGACGGCCUUCUGGUGGUAAACCGCUUUCGCCUGUGACGAGGCGUGAGUGACGGUAACGGAUAAAAAAGCACCGGCUAACUACGUG